GUUGAGGACGAUCGGUCCGCCUUCUGGGUGAGUAUCUGGCUCGGCCUUGGCAUCUUCUUGGAGAACGUACUGCACUUCACUGUGUGGUGCGGAAUCCAGGACCUUUACUUUGAGGAAAUUAGAGUGUUUCAAGCAGGCGCACGCCUUGAAUACAUUAGCAUGGAAUAAUAAGAUAGGACCUCGGUUCUAUUUUGUUGGUUUCUAGAGCUGAGGUA
rnacentral:rRNA from 1 species